rnacentral:lncRNA from 1 species
UGUGAUAUUGACUAAGUCAUUUAACUUCUUUGGGCCUCAGUUUUUUUAUUCACUAAAAGAGGAGGCUAGGAAAUAUGUAUCUAUAUAUAUAAAAAUUAUUAUUUUUCCAUAUUACAUGUUGAUACAAUUUUAAAUAUUCAUUUUUUUUAUAUUUUUCAGUAUUUCUUUCCUUCCCUCUCAUUCCUCUCUACUCCCCAAGAAUGCAGAUUAAACAAUAGCUGGACUUGUUGAAGUACUGAACAAUGAUGACAUCUAUACAACAGAAAAUUCAAGAAGUGAAAAAUUCAUGAUUCCCAGAUGUUAAUAUAUAUCAAAACAUUGGGGAUAAAAUAAAACACGUAAAGAAAUGAGGCCA